rnacentral:snoRNA from 8 species
GAGCGAAGUUCCCAGCAGAGGGGUGAAAAUGCUCUGGAAUUGAGGCCCCUCUAACAAUAAUCCAAAACUACUUCGCAGAGUAAUCUGCCGAAUCGUAGGAUGCCCAUUACUAUCUAUUUUUGGAGCAUCUGGAACCCUCGGCUAAAUUUAU